GGUCCUGGCUGUCAGACCUCCCAGCUCUGCCUGCUCCCAGGUGGGCUUCCUCCCAGCGGUGACCCCCAGCUCUGUGACCCCUGCUCUGCCCCCUCCCUGCCUGGCCAACGCUCUCAGCCCUGCCCAGGAAACACCCUGCAACACAGCAGGCCCACCUCGGUGAUACGGGACACGGUGGCUGCCCCGUGGGAACCGCCCUUUAUGACCUCUGCUCACAGCUGCCUGUGGCACCCCGAGGCGGGCCUUCCUGGACCCCAGGGGUGGUUCCACCAGCCCUCCUCCAGGACCCACCUUCCCGGGGAACUAGCCUCCCCAGCUCACAGGGGGCAGCCACGGAGGGCCAGGGAGAACCCCAACCCUCGAGGCCUCGGAGGGCCCCUCCGCGGGAAGCAGCACAGCACAGCAGCUUCACAGGCAAGAGCACUUUAUUGAACCCAGUUGUGGACAGGUAGGUCUCUAGCACCUGCUGUAGGAAGGGGAGGGGGUGGGGCAGGGCCAGUGUGGAUGGUGGGGGACUUGGGCUGGGCCGUGGAUGGCUGCUGGUAGCCUCCCUGUUGCCUUAAAU